CUAUUUUCAAUAGAAGAAUAUAAGAAAAAUAUGCUUAAUUUUUUUUUAUCAAUGGGUCAAAUCAAAAUGGCAACGACCCAGAGAGUUCGCGUGACGAGAAAUCGUCAGGAAUACGAACGAUCCUUUAAAUCAACCCCCAUGCAGUGUUUACCGUUCGAAAUGGACCAAGGGAAGAGGAUAUGCGCGCGAUAUACGACCUAAUUCAGUACCCUACUGAUAACGAUGACGUCACGAUAGCUCGUCUACUUGUUACUAGUCACGGACGCUACGUGACACGAGACUAAACUGUAGAGAUGAGCAGGAUGAUAAUGGUGCUACUCUAUAUUACGUUAUGUGUUACGCUAUUCCUCGUGACACAACAUGCAGUCAAUUUAUUCUCUCGUUAAUAUUUUAUUAUCCAUUCGAUUCAUUUGACAAAAAUAUGAUGUUAAUUACCAAUCAGCAUGACUUUUCAUUAUUCCGUUUUUACAAUUUAUUUUAUCCUUAGUUUCUACGCUUGUAUAUAUAAGAAUAAAACUUUUGAAAACAAUAAGCUAAAUAACUAGCAUCGAUUUAAGUCGAAGACACGCGAAACGUGAGAAAAUGAAAGUAGCGGCGGGUUGCUUUUAGAUCGAUCAACAGCAGUAAGAGUCGCCAAGAGAACGGGGACCAGUUGUCGUCUAUCGUCGUUCUUUCGUUGGCAUCACAAGAUUGCGCGAUGAUGUCAUGUAUUCGGCCGAGUUUAUGCGUGUUUGUAAACAGGCAGAGAGAAAAAGAGAAAUAGUUCAGAAAGAUGAACAAGGACGGAAUAAGGAGUGGGAGUAAACAUGAAGGAGAAAGGGGAAACGAGAAAGAAGCGAGAGGGGAGAAAAAGUGCCUUGUGUCAGGCACCUUGCCGUUCUGACUGCGCAGCAUCUCGCUUGUUUCUCGUACGCCUUCGUCGAGGCUCCCUACGCAGCGUCGCUCAUCUCGUUUUCUCGUACACGAGCGUGACGUCAUGCUGCAAGUUGCAUAGGAGUAACUGAACGAGGAAAGGGGACUAGAGGGGAGCAGUUACGUGGGGAUAUAGACGAGCAAACGUGCGCGCGCGCACCAGAAAGCCGCAGCGUCGAUGGAUUUGCUGUUACCUGCAUGGAGUGGCUGCAUGCAGAAUACACGCGAGGUGACAUCGUCGUAUGUAGUCGUUGGUAGCUGAUUUUCCCUCUUCCCUUCGUUCACCUACCUAACCUCUCGACAGAACAUAACCGGUUCCGCGCCGCGUGCAAACUCCUUCCAUCCUCCUACCCCUCGACUGUCUCCUUCCUUCUCGUAGUUUCUUUUCUUUUCAUACAAACCUAUCUCUCUUCUGAACCGUUCCGACCUCCCCCACUCGUUCUUUCUCACUUUUCUUUCUCGUGUUUCAUUCUCGCUUCCUCCUUUUUCAAGUACUAUACUCGAACGAUCGAAUUAAUCGUUGGCUGCUCGUCUACUGCUAUUCGACAGUGUUGCAUUUUAUAUGCUUUUCUCUCGUUCUCUUUCGUCACUGAUGUACAACAUAUAUUCAAACAUUACACAGAGAGCGAUUCCGCGGUCAUCCAGCGGGAUGUGCUACUUUAUGCCCUAUUGCAAAGGCGACGGCGGGGCAAUGCCACGAAUCGUGGCUCACGACGGAGACGAUGGUCUAUGCGCAUAUUGUACCGGACGGUUAAUGGCGUGAUGGCGUGACAUCGGUGCACAUUGCACACGUACACUGCGAAUGGGGCGAACGGAAUGGAACGGAACGGAACGGAACGGAAUGGAAUGGAAUGGAACGAAACGGAAUGGAACGGAACGGAACGGAACGGAACGGGAUGGAACAGAACAGAAUGGAAUGGAAUGGAACGAAACGAAACGAAAUGAAAGACCGGAACGCGAUGUCGCGUGUCCUAUGUUGCAUUCGCGUGUGUCGCAAAUAUUAUAUGCGAUUCUUCAACUAAAUGCUUUAGUGCACGAAUAUAUUUGUACAUUGUUUUA